GCCAGGUAGAUGGGAUGUGGGUUGACAUGGUUGAAUGUUGGCAGUUAUGCAGUUUGGCUGGUGGUGUGGCUUCUCCUGUAAGAUUAAUUAUUGUUGAAAUAAAGUAGUAGACUGAGUUAUAAAGU